GGCAGGAGGGGAUGGACGAGCGAAAGGGGAGCUCGCAGGCUGAAGCGGCUUCGUCCCCCGCGUCGCGCUGGUGGCAGCUGCCCACCGAGGCCGGCCCUCGAGGCCGCACCCAGAGUGACAUCUCCUCCUUCUGUACGCUCAGGAAGAGCCACCUGCUCCGCGCGCCGCUCUCGGGAUCAGUUGAUGGGAUAGACAAGGCAUCAGUUGCAAAUUCAGAUGGGCAAACUCCUGGAUCACGGACUCCUCCUUUCAAGAGGAAAGGCAAACUAUCUACUAUUGGUAAAUUCUUCAAACCAUGGAAAUGGCGAAAGAAGAAAACAAGUGAAAAAUUUAGAGAAACAUCAGCAGUGCUAGAAAGGAAGAUAUCAACCAGACAGAGCAGAGAGGAGCUGAUAAGAAGGGGUGUCCUGAAGGAAAUAAAUGAGCAAAGUGAUGAUGGAGAAAUAGCAGUGAAUUAUGAAAUCUCAAAUGGCCACACAAUUGUAAUCGCUGAAGAAGCCAUAGAGGAAGAAAACAUUGUGAAGACCACAGAGGACAAUAGUUCCAUAUUGGCAAAAGCACAAGCUCCAGAAGAGAGAGCAGAGGGUAAAAAAGAGAAACCACUUCCUAAACGUCCUGAAACUUCAGUACCCCGUGCUCCUCCUCCUCCUCCUCCACCACCUCCUAAAUCUAAGCCUAAAGGUAAAAAGGCAACCAUACCUCCAAAAAAUACCACAGCUGCUACCACUAGCCAUAGAACUAAUGAAGUGCCACAUGCUAAAAAAAAGGGCAAGGCUUCUGCUAAGCAGGUGUCUGCUGCACCUCCGAAGUCAACAAGCCGGAGCAUGAACCGAGAAACUGCUAGUUCUUCUAAUUUAAAAAAAGUGCCAGUUUCAUCUCCUUCAUCCACAUCAUCUCGCCCUAAAAUAUCUAAAGAGCCAGCUUCAAGGGAAGCAGGCACAGGGACACCCAGAGACAAGAAAAAGCAUGGAAAACAGGUGACCACACGAACACCUGCAGAGGGGGACAUUUCUUCAGCCUCAAGCACAACAGGAGGCAACUCAGAUACGAAGAUGGAAAAUUCUAAGCCAGAAGAGCCUCUCCAAAUGAUUCCUGAAGCUGGAGAUACAACCCAGCAGAGCACAGUUACUGUUCCUCCCCCUCCUCCUGCUGUUCCACCUCCUCUUCCUCCAUCCAUCCCUUCUCUAUCUCUAGGCACUCAGCCCACUGGUUUCUCAGACACACAAGAUGUGCCAGUGAGCGCUGAAACAAGCCCGUCUGUCCCUGGCACAGACUUUAAUGAACUCCAUAUGAAAACUGAAGCAGACAGUGAAAACUCUUCAAGCAGUGCUGUCUUAGACAAUAGUCUGGAUAUUGCGGGAGAAGACACAAAAUGUUCUGCCACUGGAGAAGACCCUGAGAAAGACACCAUUGACCUGGCAAGUCCUGUCCUAACAGAUGAAGUUUCUGAAGCCCUGAAUGCUCCAGAAAGUGAAAGCAGCAAAGAGAAUCACACCAGUGACUCUGAUUCAGAUGGGCCUAUACUCUACACAGAUGACGACGACGAUGAAGAUGAUGCGUGUAGUGAAAGCUCUUUAGCAAGUAAAAUCCGUCGUAGAGAUACUCUUGCGAUUAAACUUGGCAACAGGCCAUCAAAACAAGAACUGGAAGACAAAAAUAUCUUGCAGAGAACAUCUGAAGAGGAGAGGCAGGAAAUCAGACAUCAGAUCGGCACAAAACUAGUGAGGAGGCUUAGCCAGAGGCCUACCUCUGAAGAGCUGGAACAAAGAAACAUUCUGAGGCAGAAGAAUGAAGAAGAAGAACAAGAAGCUAAAAGAGAAUUGAAGCGCAGUCUCAGCAGAAAGCUCAGUCUGAGACCAACAGUGGCUGAACUUCAAGCAAGAAGAAUCCUUCGUUUUAAUGAGUAUGUGGAAGUAACAGAUUCUCCGGAUUAUGAUCGGCGUGCUGACAAGCCCUGGGCAAGGUUAACACCUGCCGACAAGUGUCAGUGCAUUGCCCUUGUAAAGUAUUCUGAAUGGCUGCUGUGCUUUAAUACCUGCCAACUGAAAACAAUGGCUUAGAAUAUCCAAACAUUUCAUUUAAUGUUACGUAAAAAUGAAACAGAAGCAAGUUUCUAGAUGAAAAGCGUUAUUCAUCUUGCCUGACUGAAAGGUAGUCCUCAGGAAGGGCAGGAGUUCUGCAGCUCGUUCAUUUGCUAUGCAUGAAACAUUAGUCAUCCAGUACUCCAUGCACAUUAAACAAGUGGCUUGUUAGAGUGGAAAGUUUCUUUUCUGCUACUGCCAUUCCCAGCUUUGUAGCUUGUGCAAUGUUUUGUGCUUUGUUUUCUACUGGGAUUAUUCUAUUCUGAUCAAUAAAUAGUGUUUGAAAGGAAAAGAAGGGAAAUAUAAUCAGUUCUCUAAUAUAGGAGAGAGAAAAUACAUGUGGAGUGUCAGUGCAGCAUAGGAGGGCUCUUGCUUGCCAUUUCUUGUGUCUUCUGAAACAAUGGAAGAUGGGAAGAGGGCAAAUGUCUAAGGAUGUCAGUAUGCUGAGAUCAUAGAAGCAGUUCAGUGGUUCCCAAACUGUUGCACUUUUGGACCAGUGUCCCUGAGCUGCUUGUAUCAAAAAAGGGCUGAUCCUAGAGGACUGACAAGCAAACCUUUGCAUGCUGUAGAACAGCAACAUCAGGUGAAGUAGCCUGGAAUUGUUUCCAUUCGUCAUAGAUUUAAAACUCCAAGUGCGUUUGGGGCACUGCUUCUUUGUUAGACAGUAGAUUUCACCUGCCGUUUGUUCAUGGGGACUGGAUCUUUCUUUUCAGUUAAACUCAGAUAAAAUAUUACUCUUCACCAACUAUAUGAUUACAUUGAUACUAAAAAUUUAUUUAAAUAUAAGAUACAUUAUAUAAAAAUGGGUAGAGAUGAGGCCAUCAGACACAAUGUACUGCUUGAUUAUAAAAAGGUCUGUUUUUAUUGCUUCCACUGAAGAGCUGUCCUCAUAUUCUGUGUUUUUUAAUUAGGCAGCAAUACGGAAAGAGUUAAAUGAAUUUAAAAGCACAGAAAUGGAAGUACAUGAAGAGAGUCGGCAGUUUACAAGGUUUCACCGUCCGUAAUAGAUUGAAAAUAUCCGUGGUCCAGACACAAGCUUACUUCCCAGGGAAUGUACAACUCCUCAACAACCUGAAAGAGCAUUCCAACGGAAAUGUCUGCCUGAAGUCAUUGAACAGUGUGGUCCCCACAUUUAAUAAAAGAGAUGACUAGAAGAGAGCCUACAAUGAAUGCAGUAGAAGCUGCAUAGUAAGAGAGAAAAUGGUGUUGGGACCAUCUCAAUCAGGGUAAAUGAUACUGUUUUUCCCUCAUUAGUACUUGGCCGGAGAGGAAGUACUGAAAAUGACUGUUGGCAGGAAAUAAUACUAACCCACUUUUGAUUAGGGCAGGAACAAACAUAGCUGAGUAUUUUAUCAGACAUUCUUAUCAGAAUGUUAGAGCAAAAUUAUUAACAUUCUUCAUGGAAGUAAUUUAAUGCUAUAUUAGGAUAUCAGAUAACUUCUUUAAAGUACAGAUCCAGGAAUGUGAGCAGUUGUGCUGGUGCAGUUCUACAAUCCUCAGCUUUUUGGAGCCAGGUGCAGAGCUACCAAAUCCCCUUUUUAUAAACUGCACUUACAGUGCAGUAAUUUAGUGUAGUGCCAGUCAAUUUGCCAGUAAUUAGUUGUAGCACAAUUCACAGUCACUUCUACAAAUUUUCAUUGUGCUUUUAAAAUGUGCAUUGUGACUGCAGUCUGGAGCACAACUAGACUCAUGGGAGUUGCAGAAAUGUCAGCAGAACUUUUGAGCAUGUAGCUAUGCACAAGACUGCAGUGUUCUGUUUAUUUAGAAUUGGAAAACCAUAGGCCCUCCAUAAUCGUGUAUCAAUGAGACAUAUGUUUAGGAAAAUUAAAGUGUGAGACAAUAAGGAAGUAGUGAAAAGACACAGAUUCUGGUUUUCCCCUAUCUUUUUAUGACGUCAUGGCUGAAGCAAUGAUUUCAGAGCUGCUUAGAGGAACAGUAUUGACAAUCAAAUUAUGAAGCCAAACUGCGAGAUGAAUGUGAAUACAGCAGCUUAUCAUGUAGUUCUGGGCUAUAGCUAGUAAUAUGUUCUUUAUGUACAGGCUUAACUACAUUUAGUAGAUACUGGGAUUCGGGUAGACCUAAUCAGGCCUAGAGGCCAAAUGUCAUGCACCCUCCAAAGGUUUUCCUCUGGCUUACCCAGCCCUGUGCUGCUGUCGAGAGCCGACGUGGUUGUAUAUUCCAUGGCAGAAAAGCAGGGUGAGGGUGUUAGGAGGAAUUUUCCCAGGGAAAACAGCACUAGCAAGCUACACAGAAUAUACGGACAUUGCAUUCCCCAUGCUUGGGACUAUUGGCAAAGAAGGCAAUUCUGGGCAUGAACCUUCUUUGUGUGAACAGUGCAUCCAGAUGGAGGAAUGUCGUAACAUAACAGAGCUUUGUUCCGCCACAUGCACACCCUGGCAUGUGUGCACAGAAGCCAUAUUGAGGCAGCCUGGAGAAUGAAUACCUGCACACAUUUCCUGUACCUUUGUUCACCCUACUCUUGCCAUUUGGCCAAGUGGAAAGGAGAGGGCUGACCUGGGAUAUGCGUGGUAGAUAGAGGUCUCCCACUCUGUGAAAGAGGCUGAUGCACUGAGAGUGCCAAGGGGGCAGACCAGGAAAAUCAGAGGUCAGUCGUGCCACACCCUACAAGGAUCCCUCAGCAUGUAGUCUCUGUGCCUGUAGGGAAAAGGAUUGUGUCAUAGGUGUAACUUAAGUCCUCACAGAAGGCCUUGUGAAAACUGCAGAAAGGCCUUGGAACCUAUAGCCUGUAUUUGUUAUGUGUGAAUAAUGUGGAACAAAUUGUCUACUUUUAUACUAUCUUGUAAUUGUAUUUGUGAAUAUAUUGUUAGUCAAGUUUAAAAAGUAUAAGGUGGUGUGACAGGCAAUAUGUGUAUUAUUAUGUUGGCCCUAAAUAUGGUGGCUUAUUAUAAGCCUAUGACAUUGUUUACACUAAAAAUUGUCUUAUAUUGGCACUUAUUUAUCCUUUUAAUGUACACAAUGAAAUGUCUGGCCUGAAAUACACAAGGGCAUGUAUUGCAGUAUUACAAUAUAUAUAUGCUAUUUAUCCUUUUUAAUGUAUAUACUACAAUUUAUUUUUGUCCAUGUGCCCUGUUUAGUUCUUAAUUAUAUAAGAUACGUAUUUUUUUCAGGCAAUAAAUGGUGUCUGUCAUUAUUUUUUUUAAACCUCAGAA